CCUCAUUCGGUUGUCUUAGGGCUUAAAUCAAUGAAGCUUUUCUCCCUGCCCUUGAGUUUGGCUUGUGUUCAUCACAAGAAGGACAUAGCUCUUGAGUUCAAGUCGGUGUAAACCCACUCCCCAGCCACCAUGCUUAUUCUGUCCAGUUUAUCACACGCCAACUCCUCUGUAGUGACCACGCCAUCAGUUUGCCCACCUCGCCGUGGUCAGUUGCCUGGAACGUGGUCGCGACGCCGCGGACUGGCGCCAUGUGCAGUCUCUAUGCCGACCUAUCCACCUGCGCUUUCGCAGAAGCAACUUCGUGCGAGCACCAUAAUCCUGGAGGGUAUUGAAAAAGGAACAAGAUUACUGUUGGGGGUCUGCUUCGUCGCCGAAGGUCCCAUAAGAAGAAACACCUUCGGAAGACUGACAUAAAGCCGAAGCUUUCAAUCAAAGAGCUUCGGAGUACAUUUUCAGAUGCACCGACUUAAAGAUGAAAUGACCAAUCGGCCUGAGAUAGCUUGUACUAUGAUUGUAAACAUUUGUAAAGGGCAUGAAUGUAAUUUCUCACAGGCUGUGUCCUGUGCCUAUAAAUAGAUGAACAGUACCCAUGUACUGUUCACGCUAUCUUGUAUUCGCUUGUGCACAACGCUCGGAUUUUUGCCUUCUGUCAAGCCGAAGGUACAAAUAUAAUUAAAUAUUGUAUUUAAAUA